AUCCAAUUGACGAGUCCCGAAUAGGACGAAACGCGUGUCCAU
rfam:Schistosoma mattheei strain Denwood, Zambia genome assembly, scaffold: SMTD_scaffold0000369